CCUACGGGAGGCAGCAGUGAGGAAUAUUGGUCAAUGGACGAGAGUCUGAACCAGCCAAGUAGCGUGAAGGAUGACUGCCCUAUGGGUUGUAAACUUCUUUUAUAUGGGAAUAAAAUGUUCCACGUGUGGGAUUUUGUAUGUACCAUAUGAAUAAGGAUCGGCUAACUCCGUGCCAGCAGCCGCGGUAAUACGGAGGAUCCGAGCGUUAUCCGGCUUUAUUGGGUUUAAAGGGAGCGUAGGUGGAUUGUUAAGUCAGUUGUGAAAGUUUGCGGCUCAACCGUAAAAUUGCAGUUGAAACUGGCAGUCUUGAGUACAGGAGAGGUGGGCGGAAUUCGUGGUGUAGCGGUGAAAUGCUUAGAUAUCACGAAGAACUCCGAUUGCGAAGGCAGUUCACUGGACUGCAACUGACACUGAGGCUCGAAAGUGUGGGUAUCAAACAGGAUUAGAUACCCUAGUAGUC
rnacentral:rRNA from 1 species